rnacentral:rRNA from 1 species
UACGAAGGGUGCAAGCGUUACUCGGAAUUACUGGGCGUAAAGCGUGCGUAGGCGGUUUGUUAAGUCUGUCGUGAAAGCCCUGGGCUCAACCUGGGAAUUGCGAUGGAUACUGGCAAGCUAGAGUACGGUAGAGGAUGGUGGAAUUCCACGUGUAGCAGUGAAAUUCGUAGAUAUCGAGAGGAACACCGGUGGCGAAGGCGGCCCCCCUGGUUGGAUACUGACGCUGAGACGCGAAAGCGUGGGGAGCAAACAGG